GACGAACGCUGGCGGCGUGCCUAAUACAUGCAAGUUGAGCGCUGAAGGUUGGUACUUGUACCGACUGGAUGAGCAGCGAACGGGUGAGUAACGCGUGGGGAAUCUGCCUUUGAGCGGGGGACAACAUUUGGAAACGAAUGCUAACACCGCAUAAAAACUUUAAACACAAGUUUUAAGUUUGAAAGAUGCAAUUGCAUCACUCAAAGAUGAUCCCGCGUUGUAUUAGCUAGUUGGUGAGGUAAAGGCUCACCAAGGCGAUGAUACAUAGCCGACCUGAGAGGGUGAUCGGCCACAUUGGGACUGAGACACGGCCCAAACUCCUACGGGAGGCAGCAGUAGGGAAUCUUCGGCAAUGGACGAAAGUCUGACCGAGCAACGCCGCGUGAGUGAAGAAGGUUUUCGGAUCGUAAAACUCGGUUGGUAGAGAAGAACGUUGGUGAGAGUGGAAAGCUCAUCAAGUGACGGUAACUACCCAGAAAGGGACGGCUAACUACGUG
rnacentral:rRNA from 1 species